rnacentral:rRNA from 1 species
CCAGCCUUCUGAAAGGAAGAUUAAUCCAGGAUGGCAUCAUGAGUUCACAUGUCCGCAUGAUUAAAGGUAUUUUCCGGUAGACGAUGGGGAUGCGUUCCAUUAGAUAGUAGGCGGGGUAACGGCCCACCUAGUCAACGAUGGAUAGGGGUUCUGAGAGGAAGGUCCCCCACAUUGGAACUGAGACACGGUCCAAACUCCUACGGGAGGCAGCAGUGAGGAAUAUUGGUCAAUGGGCGAUGGCCUGAACCAGCCAAGUAGCGUGAAGGAUGACUGCCCUAUGGGUUGUAAACUUCUUUUAUAAAGGAAUAAAGUCGGGUAUGCAUACCCGUUUGCAUGUACUUUAUGAAUAAGGAUCGGCUAACUCCGUGCCAGCAGCCGCGGUAAUACGGAGGAUCCGAGCGUUAUCCGGAUUUAUUGGGUUUAAAGGGAGCGUAGAUGGAUGUUUAAGUCAGUUGUGAAAGUUUGCGGCUCAACCGUAAAAUUGCAGUUGAUACUGGAUGUCUUGAGUGCAGUUGAGGCAGGCGGAAUUCGUGGUGUAGCGGUGAAAUGCUUAGAUAUCACGAAGAACUCCGAUUGCGAAGGCAGCCUGCUAAGCUGCAACUGACAUUGAGGCUCGAAAGUGUGGGUAUCAAACAGGAUUAGAUACCCUGGUAGUCCACACGGU